rnacentral:rRNA from 1 species
UCCUACGGGAGGCAGCAGUGAGGAAUAUUGGUCAAUGGGCGGAAGCCUGAACCAGCCAAGUCGCGUGAGGGAAUAAGGCCCUACGGGUCGUAAACCUCUUUUGCCGGGGAGCAAGGGCGGGGACGUGUCCCGGCCCGGAGAGUACCCGGAGAAAAAGCAUCGGCUAACUCCGUGCCAGCAGCCGCGGUAAUACGUAGGGGGCAAGCGUUAUCCGGAUUUACUGGGUGUAAAGGGAGCGUAGACGGUUACGCAAGUCUGGAGUGAAAGGCGGGGGCCCAACCCCCGGACUGCUUUGGAAACUGUAU